rnacentral:rRNA from 1 species
CAGUAGCCGCGGUAAUACGAAGGGGGCUAGCGUUGCUCGGAGUGACUGGGCGUAAAGGGCGCGUAGGCGGUUUUCCAAGUUAGAUGUGAAAUUCCUGGGCUCAACCUGGGGGCUGCAUUUGAUACUGGGAGGCUUGAGUAUGGAAGAGGGUCGUGGAAUUCCCAGUGUAGAGGUGAAAUUCGUAGAUAUUGGGAAGAACACCGGUGGCGAAGGCGGCGACCUGGUCCAUAACUGACGCUGAGGCGCGAAAGCGUGGGGAGCAAACAGGAUUAGAUACCCGGGUAGUCCCUGUCUCUUAUAC